rnacentral:rRNA from 1 species
AUUGAACGCUGGCGGCAGGCCUAACACAUGCAAGUCGAACGGUAACAGAAAGCAGCUUGCGGGUUUGCUGACGAGUGGCGGACGGGUGAGUAAUGUCUGGGAAACUGCCUGAUGGAGGGGGAUAACUGCUGGAAACGGUAGCUACUACCGCAUAACGCCGGAAGACCAAAGAGGGGUAGCUUGGUGCCUCUGGCCAUCGUAGAUGCCCAGAUGGGAUUAGCUAGUCGGGGGGGUAAGGGCACACCUAGGCGACGAUCUCUAGCUGGUCUGAGAGGAUGACCAGCCACACUGGAACUGAGCCACGGACCAGGCUCCUACGGGAGGCCGCAGAGGGGAAUAUUGGACAGUGGGCGCAAGCCUGAUGCAGCCAUGGCGAGUGUAUGAAGACGGCCUUCGGGUUGUAAAGUACUUUCAGGGGGGAGGAAGGGAGUAAAGUUAAUACCUUUCCUCAUUGACGUUACCCGCAGAAGAAGCACCGGCUAACUCCGUG